AGUGAACGCUGGCGGCAGGCCUAAUACAUGCAAGUCGAACGGCAGCACAGUGGAGCUUGCUCCAUGGGUGGCGAGUGGCGGACGGGUGAGGAAUACAUGGGAAUCUGCCCAGUCGUGGGGGGAUAACGUAUGGAAACGUACGCUAAUACCGCAUGCGCCCUUCGGGGGAAAGUCGGGGACCGCAAGGCCUGACGCGAUUGGAUGAGCCCAUGUUCGAUUAGCUAGUUGGCGGGGUAACGGCCCACCAAGGCGACGAUCGAUAGCUGGUCUGAGAGGAUGAUCAGCCACACUGGAACUGAGACACGGUCCAGACUCCUACGGGAGGCAGCAGUAGGGAAUAUUGGACAAUGGGCGCAAGCCUGAUCCAGCCAUGCCGCGUGAGUGAAGAAGGCCCUCGGGUUGUAAAGCUCUUUCAGGUGGAAAGAAAUCACUACCCCGAAUACGGGUGGUGGAUGACGGUACCAUCAGAAGAAGCACCGGCUAACUACGUCG
rnacentral:rRNA from 1 species